rnacentral:sRNA from 1 species
CUUCAGUGCACAGUUGCGGACAGAUGAAGUGAACGUGGGCAUCGAAGCCACCAGCAGUCAGAAUCAAGCCUUCACCAGCGAUCACUUCCGUGUUCACACCCACAAUCAGGUUUGGCACGACCCCUUCCAUCACAUCCGGGUUGCCACCCUUGCCAAUACCCGCAAUCAAACCAUCCUUGAUACCCACAUCGGCCUUGUAGAUGCCCGUGUAGUCCAGAAUCAAAGCGUUAGUGAUGAUCGUGUCGACCACCUGGGCGGACGUUUUGCCAGACGCCUGGCCCAUGCCUUCACGCAG